AAAGACUUACAAUUUUUUUUCAUCAUUAUUUGUCAACCAAGCCUUUAAGACUACAGUUCUGGAAUAGAUGGGUUUUGUGCUAUAGAGAAUUUUGAGUCAAGAUUUCAGAAUUCUGUUCUUACUGUACCAUCUGUGGCAAUCCAGCCAUCUUCCAUGGGCACCCAGUAUUCUUUUCAGGUAUUCUUUUUUAUCCUUCAGUUGGAAGACUGUGAGGUAGCCUUGCUUAAAGAAUGGUGGAUAGAUUAGAUGCUUUCUCAAGGAUGUUUAUCUACAGCUUUCUGACUGAAUAUAUUUGGGAGGAUGUCUGUAUUAGUAUGCUAAGGCUGCUGUAACAAAAUACCAAAGACUAGGUGGCUUAAAUAACAGAAAUUGAUUGUCUCACAGUUCUGAAGGCUGGAAGUCCAAGACCAAGGUGUCAGCAAGUUUGGUUUCUUCUGAGAUCUUUCUCCAUGGCUUGCAGAUGGUUGUCUUCUUCCUGUGUCCUCACAUGGUCUCUUCUCUGUGAGCAUGAAGGUCCAUCCUUUGAGUGUCUGUGUCCUAACCUCCUCUUCUUUGAAGGACACAGUCAUAUUGGAGAGGGCCCAUUUAUGGCCUCAUUUUACCUCACUUACCCCUUUAAAGGCCCUAUUUCCAAGUAUGGUUGGUCACACUCUGGGGUACUGGGGGUUAGGAAUCAAAUAUAUACUUUUUGAAGGACAUAAUUCAGCCCUUAAUAAUUUAAUCUACACUUGUUCUCUAUGGCUUGAAAUGACAUUUUUCAGACAAUUUUGUACUGCUAUACUCUGUGCUCUGUAGCUUUGUUCCAACUGGCUGUCUUGUGCAUUGCUCUUUGGGCUUGAAAGAAUUAAAAAAUGUUCACAGUUUGCUUUACAUGCUUCAUGAAGGUAUAUAUUUCUGUGGAGGUACUGUAACAGUUAUAGACAUUAUCACAUUCACCCCUAAGUACUUCAUUAUGUAUCUCUAAAACAUAAGAACAUUUUUCUACUUAAUUUAUUUGUGAUUAUAUUCAAUGUUUAUUUCUUCUCAAACUAGGAAUUCAAUUUUGAUAUUUUCCCGACGCAUUUAUUUUUUGCUCUCUCUUAAUCAAGUGUGCAUAUUAUCUUCUAGGUUUGUGUUUCAUCAACAUUUUGUAAGUCCUAAGGCAUUCUACACUGCAGUUAAAUCACAUUAGGAAAUACUGAUAUGGGUGAGUCUUGAGGAUGUGGUUAUGUGUCCUUACUCACCAUUUUAGUGAUACUAUAUUUAUGUUAGUCACUACAGGUAAGGUUUACUCAUGCUAUAGUUUGUAAUUUCUGUCUGCAUGAGACUUAAAAAAAUAAUGCCUUGAAGAUACUGAAAAAGUAUCAUGCCUUGAAGAUUCUAAAAUUUUAGACAUGGUUUUAAACAAAACUCUAAACGCUUUUAUUUUGAGACGUAACCUGCUUUAUUCAUUGGAGGCAUUCUUUUUUUAUUUUUUUUUUUAAGUUCCGACGGUGGUAGUGUUUCUCCAGAAUAUUUAUUUUCUUUAUCCUUAAUACCUUGUAGGGACUAACUUGAGAGUUCACAUGAAAGAUUCAAUUCCCAUUCCCUUUUUCCAUCUUUACUCAAAGCUGGUUCCAGAAUUCACAGAGCCACUGUGUUGCUAGCUUCUUAGUCCUUUCAGAUUGCUCUCACGAAGUACCAUAAACUAGGUGGCUUGUAAAAACAGAAAUUUAUUUUUCAUAGUUCUAGAGGCUGGGAAGUUCAUGAUGAAGGCACCGGCAGAUUUGGUGGCUGGUGGGGCAUUUGGUUCCUGGUUCACAGAUGGUGCCUUCUCUCUGUCUUCACAUGGUGGAGGGGACAGCCAAGCUACCUUGGGCCUCUAUUAUAAGGAUGCUAAUUCCAUUCAUGAGCAGUCCACUCUCAUGACCUAAUCACCUCCCAAAAUGCCACUCUUCUAAUACCAUCACUUUGGGUUAGAAUUUCAACAUAUGAAUUCUGGGGAGACACUAGCAUUCAGACUGUAGACUGUAAUGGCUUGCUUGUUUCUAUACCCCAUUCCAGAACCUUGCAAAGAUAUUCACUUUUUUUUACCCUGAACUGCAUUAAACUGAAAUGUCUGGUGGUCUCCUCUCUCCAUCAGCAUUGCAAGUUGAGAUUCUACUUGUUUCCCUGUAGGGCAUGGCCUGGUCAGUGCCUGUUCCCUGACUGAGGCCCAGCCCCCUUCGCCUGUGCCCAUCACCAGUGCCACCAGCAUGUCUGACAAACUGCCAUACAAAGUCGCUGAUAUUGGCCUGGCUGCCUGAGGGUGCAAGGCCCUGGAUAUUGUGGAGAACGAGAUGCUGGGCCUGAUGCGCUUGCAUGAGCAGUACUUGGCCUCCAAGCCACUGAAGGGCACCCACAUUGCCGGCUGCUUGCACAUGACCAUGGAGACAGCUGUCUUCAUUGAGAUCCUUGUCGCCCUGGGUGCUGAGGUGCCGUGGUCCAGCUGCAACAUCUUCUCCACCUAGGACCAUGCAGCGGCUGCCAUUGCCAAUGCUGGCAUUCCAGUGUAUGCCUGGAAGGGUGAAACCGACGAGGUGUACCUGUGGUGCACUGAGCAGAUGCUGUACUUCAAGGAUGGGCCCCUCAACAUAAUUCUGGAUGACGGGGUCGACCUCACCAACCUCAUGCAUACCAAGUACCCACAGCUCCUGCCUGGCAUCUGCGGCAGCUCUGAGGAGACCACGACCAGGGUCCACAACCUCUACAAGAUGAAGGCCAGUGGGAUCCUGAAGGUGCCUGCCAUCAAUGUCAACAAUUCCGUCACCAAGAGCAAGUUUGACAACCUCCUCUGCCGGGAGUCCCUCAUAGAUGGCAUCAAGCUGGCCACAGCUGUGAUGAUUGCCAGCAAGGUGGUGGUGGUAGCAGGCUAUGGUGAUGUGGGCAAGGGCUGUGCCCAGGCCCUGCGGGGUUUCGGGGCCCAUGUCAUCAUCACCGAGACUGACCCCAUCAAUGCACUGUAGGCUGCCGUGGAGGGCUAUGAGGUGACCACCGUGGAUGAGGCCUGUCAGGAGGGCAAUAUCUUUGUCACCACCACAGGCUGUGUUGACAUCAUCCUUGGUCAGCACUUUGAACAGAUGAAGGAUGAUGCCAUCAUGUGUAACAUUGGACACUUUGACUUGGAGAUUAUGUCAAGUGGCUCAACGAGAACGCUGUAGAGAAGGUGAACAUCAAGCUGCAGGUGGACCAGUACCAGCUGAAGAAUGGGCGCCACAUCAUCCUGCUGGCUAAGGGUCGGCUGGUCAACUUGGGUUGUGCCAUGGGCCACCUCAGCUUUGUGAUGAGUAACUACUUCACCAACCAGGUGAUGGCACAGAUCAAGCUGAGGACCCACCCAGACAAGUACCCUGUUGGGGUUCACUUCCUGCCCAAAAAGCUGCAUGAGGCAGUGGCUGAUGCCCACCUGGGCAAGCUGAACAUGGAGUCGACCAUGGUGACUGAGAAGUAGGCCCAGUACCUGGGCAUAUCCUGUAACGGCCCCUUCAAGCCGGAUCACUACCGCUACUGAGAGCCAGGUCUGUGCUUUGCAUUCCAGCUGCUGUCCUUGCCCAGGCCUGCCUCUCCUCCCUAAGAACAAAUGGCACCAACUUUGUGACUGGUUUGUCAAUGUCCCCCAUAACUCUCUGGGGCCAGUCACUCAGUGUUUGGUCUCUGCUGCAGCCCUCAUAAGGUUCCAGGGGUGGCAGUGAGAACUGAGAGGUCCCUUCUCAAGCCUUGGUCAUGAUGGAGGUACCAGCCACAGGGAGCCAUGAGCUCAGUGGUCUUGGAACUGCUUACUAAGUAAGUCCUUCCUUAGCCUCGAAGUCAGUAGUGGAGUCACAAAGCCCAUGUAUUUUGCCAUCUAGGCCUUCACCUGGUCUGCGGACUUAGACCUGUGUGCUUGGUUUACAGGUUCAAUGGUUCCUCAGCACAUGGCAGAUGAGAAGGAGCUAUAUUAAAGGGCAAAAAGGAACUGCUGUUUGAAUUUUCCUCAGAACCUGACUUAGUUCUGGGCCUUCUUUUAAACCUCAUAACAAUGAGGUUAGUACUUUUAGUCCCUGUUUUACAGGGGUUAGAAUAGACUGUUAAGGGGCAACUGAGAAAGAACAGAAAAGUGACAGUCAGAGGUUGAGAGGAGCCAGGAAAAACAUAAAAGCAGGCAUAGACCUGCCACCACUUUUUAACUAGAUGGUUUCUAUCACAACUCUCGAUCAAAAAGAUAAUAAUUUGGCCUAUAAUGUUUAUAAUGUUAAAAGAAAGCAAGAAUGUGGGUAAAUAAAAAUCUUGGUGCCU